UACGGGGGGGGCAAGCGUUGUUCGGAAUUACUGGGCGUAAAGGGCUCGUAGGUGGCCAACUAAGUCAGACGUGAAAUCCCUCGGCUUAACCGGGGAACUGCGCUCAAAACUACCGUGCUCGAGGAAGACAGAGGUAAGCGGAACUUCGGGUGGAGCGGUGAAAUGCGUUGAUAUCCGAAGGAACACCGGUGGCGAAAGCGGCUUACUGGGUCUUUUCUGACGCUGAUGCACGAAAGCCAGGGGAGCAAACGGG
rnacentral:rRNA from 1 species